AGCGGACGCUGGCGGCAGGCCUAACACAUGCAAGUCGAACAGACCCUUCGGGGUUAGUGGCGGACGGGUGAGUAACACGUGGGAACGUGCCCUUUGGUUCGGAACAACUCAGGGAAACUUGAGCUAAUACCGAAUGUGCCCUUCGGGGGAAAGAUUUAUCGCCAUUGGAGCGGCCCGCGUCUGAUUAGCUAGUUGGUGGGGUAAUGGCCUACCAAGGCGACGAUCAGUAGCUGGUCUGAGAGGAUGAUCAGCCACAUUGGGACUGAGACACGGCCCAAACUCCUACGGGAGGCAGCAGUGGGGAAUCUUGCGCAAUGGGCGAAAGCCUGACGCAGCCAUGCCGCGUGAAUGAUGAAGGUCUUAGGAUUGUAAAAUUCUUUCACCGGGGACGAUAAUGACGGUACCCGGAGAAGAAGCCCCGGCUAACUUCGUGCCAGCAGCCGCCGUAAAAC
rnacentral:rRNA from 1 species